rnacentral:rRNA from 1 species
UACGUAGGGGGGCAAGCGUUGUCCGGAAUCAUUGGGCGUAAAGAGCGCGUAGGCGGCCCUGUAAGUCCGCUGUGAAAGUCAAGGGCUCAACCCUUGAAUGCCGGUGGAUACUGCAGGGCUAGAGUCCGGAAGAGGAGAGUGGAAUUCCUGGUGUAGCGGUGAAAUGCGCAGAUAUCAGGAAGAACACCAAUGGCGAAGGCAGCUCUCUGGGACGGUACUGACGCUGAGACGCGAAAAGCGUGGGGAGCGAACAGG